rnacentral:misc_RNA from 1 species
GAUGAAGAACGUAGCGAAAUGCGAUAAGUAGUGUGAAUUGCAGAAUUCAGUGAAUCAUCGAAUCUUUGAACGCACAUUGCGCCCUUUGGUAUUCCUUAGGGCAUGCCUGUUCGAGCGUCAUUUAAACCUUCAAGCUAAGCUUGGUGUUGGGUGACUGUCCGCUUCACGGCGGACUCGCCUCAAAAUUAUUGGCGGCCGGUACAUUGGCUUCGAGCGCAGCAGAAACGCGAACUCGGGCCCGUCGUAUUGGCUCCCAGAAGCAAUCUUCACAAUUUUGACCUCGGAUCAGGUAGGGAUACCCGCUGAACUUAAGCAUAUCAAUAAGCGGAGGA